CCCUGGAGAGCCCCUCUCCCCUCUCAUCCACACUCAGACCAGAGGGCCCUCCGCCUGCCCCGCCCCUGCCAUGAGCCCCUGCCUCCUCGGCUUCGUGGUCUUCUGUCCUCUGCAGGCAGAUGGAAGGCACAGAUCUGUGAGACUGUGGAUCACUGGCCACUAGGAGGCACUGUGGCUCCAUGGCCUGGUGGAAUCUGGAGUCACCCAGACCCCCAAGUACCUGAUCAAAUCAAGAAAGCAGCAAGCGACUCUGAGAUGUUCCCCUGAAUCUGGAC